ACCCUUCUCAGCCCGCCCCCGGCCACCCCCACCCGCUCCUCCAUGGCCGCCCCUGCCUGCGCGCCGCCCCGGCCGCCCUGCCCGCACCUCCCCAGCUGUAUCUGAUUGCCUCCGCGACCAAGUGUUCGGCCGUCUCUGACCACCCUAGGCUCGCCCUUCUCCAAUCACCAGAUCUAGCCAGGCCGCGCAUGGAUAAACCCGCCCUAGCAUCAGGUCGGACGGUGCUACGCCUGACCAUGGUCGCGAAUCCACACGUUCCGGCUUCGAGUCCGGGGAUACAGGUGUAGAUCUACUCCCCAUAUCACCUGGAGGCACACUGCACCCUCCGCUAUCCCAGUGCACCGUCCGUCGUCUCAGUGCGCUGUCAUGUGGCUCGUAACGCCUGGAGCAGCACCGCCCCGACACCCCCUUUGAUCCAUCCAGUCGCUCUGCAGUUUACAUUCAGGAAGAAUUUGCUUGUCAUUCAGACUUUGGCCCAACCCCUCCAUGGCUCUACCAUCAACCGGCUAGCCAACUGAUAUACUCGUCCCCCAUCUAUCGAGUCGGUGAGGUUAUUAUGAAUACCCAUGGUAACAGGUGUUCAAUAGAAAUUUGAGGUCUUCGCUGCACCAUUCUUGAGAUGGCACCAACAAAGCAUCCUUGGAGUCAGUAUGAAGGGGUGGCUGCAAUAUCCAAUGUUGGGAACAACAAAGACAUAUCCCGGAUAAUCUUGCUUUUGAGGCAAACAACUUUCUGAGACGUACACCCCCCUCAUCCUCUCUGCAUCUAUUCUUUUCUGUGCGUGUUGUCAGCUUCAAAUUUAUUUUGAAUUUUGAAAGGAUCAUGUUUGUCAAAUGCAUGUCGUGCAUCACGCCAUUUCGUUUGUUUCGGAAGCAAAAAAAUACUAUUGUUUAUAUAUGACGUGCAUGUGUACAGGACAGGUGGAAACACAAGGCCCCCUGAUACACAAUUCAGCAAAUAUUUUGUUAGGUGCAUAUUAUUUCUCCCUAUUUCACAUAUCUUACGACCUACCUAACUUAAAAUUUUAUGGAAAAUAAGACUUCCAUCACUUACCUGCUAGAUUAGUUUGCCUCAGCCGUGUUUUCUUAUGCAUGCUAUGUGUCUGGCUUUUCUCAUGUACCCUUUCAAUAUUUCUUACAAUAUUUAUAUACUCGAAGCAUCAUGGUUCUAUGAUACCCCUUCUGUCUUGGAUGCCGUAGAUCUGUAAGCUACAUCAUGAAAUUCAGUUUGGUUUCAGUUUCUGGUUUUUGAAGUCAUUUCUGAAAAUACAUUCACUCAUUGAGACAUGUUUGGUUUAAGCAGGAGCAAUUGCCAAGUGAGGACAAUAGGAACUAGGAAGGCUGGUAGUGAGGCAACAUAUAUUCAGUUGUAUUUACACUUGUGAUGUGAACAUGUUAGGCUUUUUAUCUCUCUUAAAGGGAGCAAUGCAAUCUGGUUACAAAUGUAACUAUGUAUGUCUGCAAGAUUAAAAUAAAAAUGUUUGGAGUAUAUAGUGUUAAUUUGUGUUGUUAAUUGGUACAUUCUCGAAUAGUAUUCAUUGGGACAUGUUGGGCUU